rnacentral:rRNA from 1 species
UACGUAGGGUGCAGGCGUUAAUCGGAAUUACUGGGCGUAAAGCGUGCGCAGGCGGUUGUGCAAGUCAGAUGUGAAAUCCCCGGGCUUAACCUGGGAACUGCAUUUGUGACUGCACGGCUAGAGUGUGUCAGAGGGGGGUAGAAUUCCACGUGUAGCAGUGAAAUGCGUAGAUAUGUGGAGGAAUACCGAUGGCGAAGGCAGCCCCCUGGGAUAACACUGACGCUCAUGCACGAAAGCGUGGGGAGCAAACAGG